rnacentral:rRNA from 1 species
AUUGAACGCUGGCGGCAGGCCUAACACAUGCAAGUCGAACGGUAACAGGAAGAAGCUUGCUUCUUUGCUGACGAGUGGCGGGCGGGUGAGUAAUGUCUGGGAAACUGCCUGAUGGAGGGGGAUCACUACUGGAAACGGUAGCUCAUACCGCAUAACGUCGCAAGACCAAAGAGGGGGACCUUCGGGCCUCUUGCCAUCGGAUGUGCCCAGAUGGGAUUAGCUAGUAGGUGGGGUAACGGCUCACCUAGGCGACGAUCCCUAGCUGGUCUGAGAGGAUGACCAGCCACACUGGAACUGAGACACGGUCCAGACUCCUACGGGAGGCAGCAGUGGGGAAUAUUGCACAAUGGGCGAAAGCCUGAUGCAGCAAUGCCGCGUGUAUGAAGAAGGCCUUCGGGUUGUAAAGUACUUUCGGCGGGGAGGAAGGGAGUAAAGUUAAUACCGUUGCUCAUUGACGUUACCCGCAGAAGAAGCACCGGCUAACUCCGUG